CUGCAAGUUGGCCAGGUACAUUCUCAUGGCUGCCACCUCCUAUCAUCCUGUGAUUGCUGACUCUCCUGCAUGGAUUCUAUCCUUUCCUUAUCUUUUCUCUCCUAUUAUUGUUCCUUAACAAAAACUAUUGGGAGAUUUUCUUAGCUUUGUUUUCAGAUCAUUUUAUCUGCUCUAAUAUUUAAAUUUCCAAGUGCUCUUUCUUGUUCUUGGAGUCUUUUUUUCUAGCGUCUUGUUUGACAUCUAUAAUAUCGUCUUUUCUCUCUGAAGGUAGGUAAGGGUUUUAGACAUUUAUUUUGCCCCCUGCUAGGCCUCUACUUACUCCAGGUUUCCUUUCUCUGUUUGCCUUGACCUUUCUUUUUCAUGUUAAAGCCUUUCCUCAAAUGUCUGAUUACCCUUGGCUGCCCGUCAUUUAAGAAAGCGCCACUAGUCAGCUCAUCGGAAGCUGUGAGGGAGAGGGCUGCAUUUGGUCCUGCCAGGUGGAGGAACACUCAGGCAUCAGUACUAGGAGGUCUUUCCUCUCAGCCCAUUGGAUUUCCCUAGAGUCCUACACGGCUGGGAUGAGGCACCUGGGUGCUGAGUAGAGGAAGGGAGUCAUGGGUCAGUCACCCUGUAUGCAGAUUUUCACACAACCCCCUCUCUCCAGGACACGCCUCGCCCCCCACCCUAAGUAAUGCAGAACCCAAAUCCACACCCUUCCUGGGUUUCUCCAGAGUCAACCUCAAACCCUAGGCUGGGGAGUCUGUUUCCUAUAGGCACUUUCAACCAGUGAUCCUGUUUUCAGCCCCACACAUCAGCUCUUCUUUCAGAGGCACCUGGCCCCUCUGUUGUGUGAAUGGGAAUGUGCUGCCUUCCUCUAAAUCAGACAAGCACCUGGAAAGGCUUUUUGUUUAUCUGAAUGACUCCUGUUGGAAUAUUAGUCAUGAAUAGGAUAAUAUGUUUCAAAUGUUCCAAACUUCUUUAAGAGAAAGAGAAAACCGUCUGUUGACUCUGGUCUUCACUCAGGUCCAGCGGCGGGAUGCUCCAGGUCCAGUCUGAGGAGUAAAUGCUGGGCGUGUAACCUCAUCAGUGUUGGGAACCUGGUGAGGCUACACAGCACAGAGGGGCCGGACUGCAUCAGGGAAAGAGGAGUUGGGCUGUCUUCUCAUUGUCACACACAAUCCCACCAUGGAGGACUCAGGCUGUCUCAUGGCUACAGAGGUAGUGAAGCAGUUGCCAGGCGCCACAGCAGGAACGGAAUUUCUCCGUGAAGACAGUGGUAAGGCGGAAGGACUGAGAGUGCAUCCCGCUGGGGUACUGGAAGGUGUAGGAUUCCAUCAGGGCAAACGCUAUCAUUUGUGCUUUAAGACUAGGAUUUGUGGAACAGGGAGAAUGCAUCCCCUGCCCUCCCUGUUGCUUAGCAACAGUCCUCUUUCUCAUUCCCAGCAGGUCCAAAAGGGCCCAGUUUUGAAGAUUGGGGGCAAGGAGUGGGGGAUGAAGCUGUCUGCUGGAUCACAAGAGUCAAAGACACGCCUUCAGCCCACACAGGUGGGGAGGCUCAGAAUGCCUGCCCCCUAGGGCCUCCACGCUGGACAUUGGGUCAGGGAAGCCCCCUUUCCUGAGUUGUUCUGUGGGACUCCAAAGGGCCUCCUGCCAAGCUCUCUGACAGUUCACAUCCCAUCUGAAGAGCCUCAUGCACCAGUCCAGGGCCUCUGAGAAGCAGAUGCCAAGAGGGGAUUAAAAAUGCCAAGAUUUUGUUGGAGGAGAUGCCCAGGUGAGGAAAGUCAGAGGGAGGCUGUCUGAGGAGUUUUCAGACCAGGACUCAGGGCAGACCCUGAGGGGAGGAGGGAGAGCAGGUUGGGAGGAUGCAUCCUAGACUGCCAUGGAGUCUAAGGAAGAUUCCACGGCCGUGCAAGAGUGCUCCAGCCAAAGGCACCCUUGGAGGAGCCCACCUCUCCCGGGGACUGCCUCCCUUCAUGUCCUCCUGUGCUCAGUCCCUUCAGAGUGCAGCCCCUUUGGCCUUGGACACUUCCUCUCCCUGCGUUUCGUUGGGCUGCAGGGCGUGUUCUCCUGGCCUCCACACCCAGGCCUGCUCAGGGGUAGGGUUGGGUGAACCUGAGGCUUGGGAAUAUCCCACUGGGGGGAUUGGGAGGCCUGCAAAGGUAGGUAGAGGGCCACGCAGUGAGGGGUGCAGAAGGGAGGGCCUGUGGACAGAGGGGGUGAACCCAAGGACGGCAAGCAGCAGCAGGGACAGGCGUGACCACAGGAGGCCACCUGUGAAGGGAGAAGGCCAGAUUUAGCAGGAGCGUGGACUCCCCGCCUGUUGCUCUUUCCCCCACCAUGUUGUAGCUCCUUAGUGUGGGUCUCCUCCCACCUCACUUCGCAUGGGAACCCUUCUGCAAGUGGCUUCACUUACACCUGUGUCUUGUUCUGUCUGGGCUGCUGUAACAAAAUAUCUGAGGCUGGGUAAUUUAUAAACCACAGAGAGUUAUGGAGGCUGGAAGUCCAAGACCAAGGCACAGGCAGGUUUGAUGUCUGCUGAGGCCUUGACCACUGCAUCACAUGGUGGAAGGCAGACGGGCAGAAAGAGGACAAACACUGUGUCCUCACAGCAGAAGAGAAUGAACCUCCUCCCUCGAGCCCUUUGAUAAGGGCCCUAACCCCAUCUGGAAGGGCUCUACCUGAUGACUUAAUCACCUCCUAAAGGCCCUGCCUCUUAAAACUAUCUCAUGGGGAUUAUGUUUCAAUAUAUAAAUUUUGUGAGACACAUUCAGACCAUAGCAACCUACUAUGUUCUUUUUCCUUAUCUGUAAUGACU
rnacentral:lncRNA from 1 species